GCCUUCUUAGCUCAGUGGUAGAGCGCGCCACUCGUAUUAAUGACGAAAGAUGGUGAGGUCGGUUGUUCAAUCCAGCCAGGAGGCA